AAAAAUGACAAAAAAUAAGCAAAACAUACUAUGUUAGAUAGUGAUAAGUGAUGAAGUGAAAAUAAGAGAGGACUCACAAUUUUUGAGAGGGUAAUAGAGGGACCAGAGAAGGCUCAUGAGGAGGUGACAUUGGAGUUAAGUGACAGAGUGAGGAAAUUGGCCAUGCAGCUAACUGGAGGAACAAUAUUCCAGGCAGAAAGAACAGCAAGUGCAAAGUCGCUGCAAGUGGCCAUGUUCCUGGCAGAUUGGAGGAACAGACUGCUUUGGAUGCUGUGUGGAGAGUAGACAAUGGAGCUAAGGGCAAAAGGGAGAUCAGUCAGAAGUUAUUGCUGGCUUGGACCCAGGCAAUAAUAGGUGGAGAGGUAAGUGGACAUAUUUUAG
rnacentral:lncRNA from 1 species